GAUUUUUGAAAUCUUUCUUCUGUUGAUCAGUCAUAGCACUUCUUUUUAUAGUAUUUCCUUCAGCAUUUACUGGGUACACAUAGCCAUUGACUAUAUGAUCCCAGAGGUCAACAUCGUAACCAAGAAAGAAAAUUGAUACUCUACAUUCCAAUAGUCAUAUUUAUCACCAUCGAAGAUUUGUGGUUUUGCACUGUAAUGAUCUAUUUC
rnacentral:lncRNA from 1 species